CAGCCGCCGCGGGAAUACGGAGGGUGCAAGCGUUAUCCGGAUUCACUGGGUUUAAAGGGUGCGUAGGCGGGCAGGUAAGUCAGUGGUGAAAUCUUCGAGCUUAACUCGGAAACUGCCGUUGAUACUAUCUGUCUUGAAUAACGUUGAGGUGAGCGGAAUAUGUCAUGUAGCGGUGAAAUGCUUAGAUAUGACAUAGAACACCGAUUGCGAAGGCAGCUCACUAAACGCUCAUUGACGCUGAGGCACGAAAGCGUGGGGAUCAAACAGGAUUAGAUACCCGUGUAGUCCCUGUCUCUUAUAC
rnacentral:rRNA from 1 species